CCUACGAGCGGCAGCAGUGGGGAAUAUUGCACAAUGGGGGAAACCCUGAUGCAGCGACGCCGCGUGAGUGAAGAAGUAUUUCGGUAUGUAAAGCUCUAUCAGCAGGGAAGAAAAUGACGGUACCUGAUUAAGAAGCCCCGGCUAACUACGUGCCAGCAGCCGCGGUAAUACGGAGGGGGACAGCGUUAGCCGGGUUUACUGGGGGUAAAGGGAACGUAGACGGCAGCACAAGGCUGGAGUGAAAUGCCGGGGCGUAACCCCUGAACUGCGUUGGAAACUGUGCAGCUAGAGGGCAGGAUAGGUAAGUGGAAUUCCGAGUGUAGCGGUGAAAUGCGUAGAUAUUAGGCGGAACACCAGUGGCGAAGGCGGGUUACUGGACUGUAACUGACGUUGAGGCUCGAAAGCGUGGGGAGCAAACAGGAUUAGAUACCCCGGUAGUC
rnacentral:rRNA from 1 species